rnacentral:rRNA from 1 species
GAUCCUGGCUCAGGAUGAACGCUAGCGACAGGCUUAACACAUGCAAGUCGGGGGGCAGCACAGGUAGCAAUACCGGGUGGCGACCGGCGCACGGGUGAGUAACGCGUAUGCAACUUGCCUAUCAGAGGGGGGAUAACCCGGCGAAAGUCGGACUAAUACCGCAUGAAGCAGGGGCCCCGCAUGGGGAUAUUUGCUAAAGAUUCAUCGCUGAUAGAUAGGCAUGCGUUCCAUUAGG